CAGGCCCUUCCAGGUUCCCGUACUUUCUUAUGGAGCUGCUCAGUGACCGGCUUAGAGGACCGGGAAUGGGUAAUUGGAGGCUGGAGCCGCUCCACUGUGGUUCGCCUCGCUGCAACUGGUGGUGACCGCGACCGAGAUGGCAGUGCGGCGGGAGCGGCACCAACCCCUUCCUCAGGUCGGUGCACCACUGCGUGACCUCCAGGCAGCCACAGCCUGGAAAAGCACUCGGUUACCACCUUGCUCAACACCUGUGCCCAGAGCAUCCACAAGGCCUGCCUCUCGGCUGCUUAGCCAGGACUGCAGGGAUGGCCCGCAGCCUCAUCGGGGCCAAGGACGCAUGCCUCCUGUCAGACACUUCUAGGUGUUGGCAUCCAUGGAGAGCCUGGAGUUAGGACUCGUCACUGUGUCCCCCACUCCAUGAAACUGGGCCUGCUGUCCUGUUAGGAUGCUGUAAGCCCCCGGGCCUGGGCUGUCCUUUCUGACACACUGUCCCAUUCCUUGGCCUGGUUCAUCCCCAGCUUCCUGGCAAAGUUCUGCUCCCUGAAGCAGGAAGAGGCUGAGAUUAAUGCCAACGAAGUGGGGCCGUGGGCCUGGGAAGACUGUGUGGCUGGCUGAGGGUGGGCAGUAAGCUGGCCACCCCACCCCCGACAUGGACAUGGCUGUGCUAUGGCGGAAGGGGUGGUGUGGGCAUGGCCACAGCACUCGAGACAGCCCUCCGAGGAGGAGGGCGAGCCUGGCUGGACCCCCUGUCUGCGGUGCUGUGUCAGGGCAGGAGAGGACAGCCUCUUGCCCCCAGGAGUGUGCAGUGUGGGCAAGAGACAGAGUGAUCAUGUGUUUGGAACGCAGCUCCAGCCCAGCCAGGGGACCAGAAAAGCCCUCCCGCUUCCAGGGAGGAUGUGCAUGGCUCUGCCAAUGCCUAUCUCCCAGGGCCGCUGGCAGGUCCCAGGAUGCGCAAGACUGGGCUGCCCAGGCAGGUCCCUGCAGACAGCAGGGCCUGGGCUAGAGGCCAAGGGCUGGGACUGGGAAGGGACGCGACGCCUGAUAGCCAGUGAGGAGCCAGGCACACAACUUGGAAAUAAACAAGCUUUAUUUUCAGUUUCAACAGGUAAGGCGAUACCUGCUUCAUCG
rnacentral:lncRNA from 1 species